rnacentral:rRNA from 1 species
GGUGAACGCUGGCGGCAUGCCUAACACAUGCAAGUCGAACGGCAACACGGUGAGCUCUCGCUCCUGCGGGUGGCGACUGGCGGACGGGUGAGGAAUACAUCGGAUUCCUCUUUUUCGGGGGUGACAACGUAGGGCAACUUAUGCUACUACCGAAUAUGACCUACGGGUUAAAGCAGGAGUUCUUCGCACUUUUCGUGUUUGUUUUAGCCGAUGUCGGAUUAGCUAGUUGGCGUGGUAAAGGCCCACCAAGGCGACGAUGCGUAGCUGAUCUGAGAGGAUGAUCAGCCACACUGGAACUGAGACACGGUCCAGACUCCUACGGGAGGCAGCAGUAGGGAAUAUUGGACAAUGGGCGCAAGCCUGAUCCAGCCAUGCCGCGUGGGUGAAGAAGGCCUUCGGGUUGUAAAGCCCUUUUGUUGGGAAAGAAAAGCAGCAGGUUAAACCCCCGCUGUUCUGACGGUACCCAAAGAAUAAGCACCGGCUAACUUCGUG